CAGAAACGUGCCCAGUCAUGCUUGGAUGCGUAACUGGCUGCCACAGCCUAGCUAAGCUGAUACAGAAAAUUCCUCACCACAGAUGUAUAUGGUGAGCAUCAAUUGGCUGGCACACUUGCCCGCUGUCCUACCUACAGUGAGUUAUCUGAGAUGUGGUGGGAGCUGCCUCUAACCUGGACCAGACACCCAGAUCCGUGACAUUGUCGACUCUUCAAAGCUCGAUUUUUGGCUCUUCACUUCGCUCUGUGGGUCCAGCACAACUUGAACAUCUGACAAGACAGUUACUGUAUUCAAGAGGGAUUUUCUACAGUUUAAUAUGAUGAAACUGGAAGAAACGUGCCAGAAAAGGAAGCAUUUGAAGACAUUCAUCAUAACAGCUUAUCCUCGAAUUCACCUUUAUAUGGUGAUGAUAAAGAUUCUAAAUGCACAGGGCAGAAAAGAGGAAAGAAAUCUGAUUCACACACACCUCUUUGAUGAUGAAGAGAAGCAGACCAUCAUGGGGAUUAAGCCCAGGUAUUACAAGUGGACACAGAAGGCAGAGUAAAUGGUGAACCACAGAGCCUGAAGAACUGGGCAGGAAACUUGCUCAUGCCAGAGAAAAUGGACGGUAGACCCCUGGGGCAGAGACCAGUGCUGCACCCACGGAGGCAAGGAUGGCUGUGGAUGAAUGAGAAUCUGCAGGUAAGUGAGUGGAAGUUGCGAAGCUUCUUG